UCAGAUUUAAUCGACUCUCCUAUCCCAUGACUGCGGCGAUCAGGCCGGCAGAUUGGGGGUGGCCGCCCGCCCGCCGAGCUCGGAUCCACUACACAACCAUCCCCGCGAGCACUCCGCUCUAUCCGCCCCCUCCCCUGAUUGCAGCGACCGGCGACCGCAGAUUGGAGGAGGCCGCUCGACCGGCCGAGCUCGGAUCCACUGCAUCAACCAGCUAUAGCGGAUUGGAGGAGGCCGCCCCACCCGGCUCUCUUUCCCCACCGAUCAGACCGAGCGGCGACGGCUGACGUGCAGCUGCUACCUCAAGAAUAACAAGAUCUAGAGACAAUUGAGUCAGUUGAAGCUACAAACCAUCAAGAACAGUCUGCACCAAAUCCAACAAACACAUCACCUCACCUAACUUCUAAGAAUAGCAACUCGCCUGACGCUGAUUCAGGGGUACAACGUUCUCAAGACAUGAUAGGCACAUCCAGACAAUCAGAUAACAUGAUUACAUUACAAGGCCAAGCUUGUAAUGUACAUGCAUUAGCAUGCUCCACUGGUCCAACUGAUCCACGACCAUCAAGGAGAGGUCAUCGACGUAGACCAACCAUGGGGCAUGGGCUUUAGGAGUAUGCAAACAGAAAUAGAGGGAGGAAGAUGCACAUUGAUUUUACAGCAGGGAAAGUGAGACCUACUGACCCAGUCCAAGUAGCAAAGCUUUCUUCUGAGUGUCGUAUUCACAUCAGGAGCAAAAUGGACGUUGCUACGCACUGGAAUGACUUGAGAGAAGCCACUAGUGAAACCUAUGGCCCCCGGGUCGAUUUUCUAUCGUAUUAAUCUUCCAACACUUAGCUAUUUCCAUUGCCUUUUAUUUUACUUGCAUCGUUAUUCCUCUUUCUCAUAAAAAUACCAAAAAUAUUAUCUUAUCAUAUCUAUCAGAUCUCACUCUCGUAAGUGACCGUGAAGGGAUUGACAACCCCUUUAUCGCGUUGGUUGCGAGGUUCUUAUUUGUUUGUGUAGGUGCGAGGGACUUGAGCGUAGCCUCCUACUGUUGGUUCUCAAAAACUGAGGGAAAUACUUACACUACUUUGCUGCAUCACCCUUUCCUCUUCAAGGGAAAAC